CGAUGAUUUGCUUGGUGAGACAGGUACCCAAUCCUGUCGUGCCGAAGCUAACGCGAUAAGCAAUCCGCCUGGGGAGUACGGUCGCAAGGCUGAAACUCAAAGGAAAUUGACGGGGGCCCGCACAAGCGGUGGAGCAUGUGGUUCAAUUCGACGCAACGCGAAGAACCUUACCUGGGCUCGAAAUGUAGUGGACCGGGGUGGAAACAUCCUUUUCUCGCAAGAGACCGCUAUAUAGGUGCUGCAUGGCUGUCGUCAGCUCGUGUCGUGAGAUGUUGGGUUAAGUCCCGCAACGAGCGCAACCCUUAUUGCCAGUUGCUAACGCGUUAUGGCGAGCACUCUGGCGAAACUGCCCCGGAUAACGGGGAGGAAGGUGGGGAUGACGUCAAGUCCUCAUGGCCUUUAUGUCCAGGGCCACACACGUGCUACAAUGGGUGGUACAAACCGUCGCAAACCCGCGAGGGGGAGCAAAUCGGAAAAAGCCAUCCUCAGUACGGAUUGGAGUCUGCAACUCGACUCCAUGAAGCUGGAAUCGCUAGUAAUCGCGGAUCAGCACGCCGCGGUGAAUACGUUCCCGGGCCUUGUACACACCGCCCGUCACAUCACGAAAGUGGGUCGUACUAGAAGUCGGUGGGCUAACCGCAAGGAGGCAGCCGCCCAAGGUAUGAUUCAUGAUUGGGGUGAAGUCGUAACAAGGUAC
rnacentral:rRNA from 1 species